rnacentral:rRNA from 1 species
CCCUAAAAACUAGGUCUCAGUUCAGAUUGCAGGCUGCAACCCGCCUGCAUGAAGUCGGAAUUGCUAGUAAUCGCGGAUCAGCAUGCCGCGGUGAAUACGUUCCCGGGCCUUGUACACACCGCCCGUCCACACCAUGGGAGCCGGUAAUACCCGAAGUCAGUAGUCCAACCUCGUGAGGACGCUGCCGAAGGUAGGAUUGGCGACUGGGGUGAAGUCGUAACAAGGUACC